GACGAACGCUGGCGGCGUGCUUAACACAUGCAAGUCGAACGGAAAUGCCCUGCUUUUUUGUGGGUCUCGAGUGGCGAACGGGUGAUUAACACGUGAGUAACCUGCCCUUGACUUUGGGAUAACUUCAGGAAACUGGGGCUAAUACCGGAUAGUAGCUCCUGCUGCAUGGUGGGGGUGGGAAAGUUUCGGCGGUUGGGGAUGGACUCGCGGCUUAUCAGCUUGUUGGUGGGGUAGUGGCUUACCAAGGCUUUGACGGGUAGCCGGCCUGAGAGGGUGACCGGCCACAUUGGGACUGAGAGACGGCCCAGACUCCUACGGGAGGCAGCAGGGGGGAAUAUUGAACAAUGGGCGGAAGCCUGAUGCAGCAACGCCGCGUGCGGGAUGACGGCCUUCGGGUUGUAAACCGCUUUCGCCUGUGACGAAGCGUGAGUGACGGUAAUGGGUAAAGAAGCACCGGCUAACUACGUG
rnacentral:rRNA from 1 species